UACGGAGGAUGCAAGCGUUAUCCGGAUUCAUUGGGUUUAAAGGGUGCGCAGGCGGAUUGGUAAGUCAGUGGUGAAAUUCAACAGCUUAACUGUUGACCUGCCAUUGAUACUGUCAGUCUAGAGUAUAGUUGGAGUGGGCGGAAUGUGUCAUGUAGCGGUGAAAUGCUUAGAUAUGACACAGAACACCGAUCGCGAAGGCAGCUCACUAAACUAAAACUGACGCUCAUGCACGAAAGCGUGGGGAUCAAACAGG
rnacentral:rRNA from 1 species